AUUGAACGCAGGCGGCAGGCCUAACAAAUGCACGUCGAGCGAGCGGCGAACGGGUGAGUAAUGUAUGGUGACUGCCCGCUAGCUGCGGAUAACUGCUGGAGACGGUAGCUAAUACCCCGUACUCUCGGAUACCCCCUAUGGGAUUAGCGAUUAGGUGAGGUAAUGGCUCACCGAGGCGACGAUCCCUAGCUGGUCUGAGAGGAUGAUCAGCCACACUGGGAUUGAGACACGGCCCAGACUCGUACGGGGGCAGGAGUGUAGAAGAUAGAACGAUGGGCCAAGGCUUAGUGCAGCGAUACGGCGGAUAUGAAGAAUGACCGCGGGUUGUAAAGUACGUUCAGUCGUGAGGCCUUACCGACAGUAGAAGCACUGGCUAACUGCGUGCCAGCAGCCGCGGUAAUUC
rnacentral:rRNA from 1 species